AGUGAAUCCAUCCUGCCGUCCGUCUCCACUUUCACCAGCCCGUACCGCAAGCGCCGCCUGCAGGCGCGCUGACCCCGCGCCCAGCCCGAGGCCAGGGGAACCCACAACUACCUCAACAGCGUGUGGGACUCCAUUCGGUCCACAGGGCUGGAUGGCCUGGGGCUGAGGCCACCCCGAAGCCCCCGGCGACCCCGCCGUCUGCGUCCUAUUACCCGAACACUGCACUCCGCUGCCCUACGGCGCCCUGGAGCUGGACCCGCUGCCAGAUGGCCCGCGCUGCUCAGCUGGUUGUUGUUGUUGUUGUUGUUGUUGUUGUUGUUGUUUUGAGAUGGAGUCUCCUUGGGUUGCCCAGGCUAGAGUGCAGUGGCGCGAUCUCGGCUCACUGCAAGCUCCAUCUCCUGGGUUCACGCCAUUCUCCUGCCUCAGCCUCCGGAGUAGCUGGGACUACAGGCGCCCGCCACCGCACCCGGCUAAUUGGAUUUUGUACUUUUAGUAGAGACGGGGUUUCACCUGUUAGCCAGGAUGUUCUCCAUCUCCUGACCUCGUGAUCCGCCCGCCUCAGCCUUCCAAAGUGCUGGGACUACAGGCGUCCGCCACCACGCCCGGCUACUUUUUUUUUUUUUUUGUAUGUUUAGUAGAGACGCGGUUUCACCCUGUUAGCCAGGAUGGUCUCCAUCUCCUGACCCCGUGAUCGGCCCGCCUUGGUCUCCCAAAGUGCUGGGAUUACAGGCGUGAGCCACUGCGCCCUGCCUGCUCAACCGCUUUCAACUGGUGCUGCCCAGCCACCUGGUCAAAGCCCAGCACCCUGAAGCAGAUGGCGGCGGCUACGCACCCAGGUUCAGGUAUGGAUCGCGCGUCCUCUCAAACACUAGGGCGCCCCGGGCCUGCAGCUUCAUGCAUGCGAGGUCCCGGGUCCCUCCCAUUCCGCCCCCAACACCUGCCCCUCAGCCCCUACGGCCCGCACGCCUCCUUCCCGCUGCCCUUCCGUGGCCCUGGUUUGGGACACCCAGCCCGGCCUUCAUGAGGCGCCCCCCGCCCAGCUCCGCCCCUCCACGCCCGUCUUUAGUCUCUUAGGCGGUGGCCGCCGCCGCCACAGCCCUGGGCCUGGCACCCCCAGUCGCCCGCGGCCUCCUUGUGGUGGCACCGGCGUCCCCGCUGGAGCUGCUGGAGGCCAAGCCCAAGCGUGACAGCUGCUCCUGGCCUGGGAACCGCAACACCAGGCAUA
rnacentral:lncRNA from 1 species